GUCUAUGCUUGUGCAAAAGCCGAGGUAGUACGUGGGGUGCGUGGGUUUUCCGGAGUUAUUUGGUUUAAAGGGUCCGUAGGCGGACUUGUAAGUCAGUGGUGAAAUCUCAUAGCUUAACUAUUAAACUGCCAUUGAUACUGCAGGUCGUGAGUAAAUUUGAAGUGGCUGGAAGAAGUAGUGUAGCGGUGAAAUGCAUAGAUAUUACUUAGAACACCAAUUGCGAAGGCAGGUCACUAAGAUUUAACUGACGCUGAUGGACGAAAGCGUGGGUAGCGAACAGGAUUAGAUACCCCUGUAGUC
rnacentral:rRNA from 1 species